GUGAGGAAUUUUCCGCAAUGGGCGAAAGCCUGACGGAGCAAUGCCGCGUGAAGGAUGAAGGCCUAUGGGUUGUAAACUUCUUUUCUCAGAAAAGAAUUAUGACGGUAUCUGAGGAAUAAGCAUCGGCUAACUCUGUGCCAGCAGCCGCGGUAAGACAGAGGAUGCAAGCGUUAUCCGGAAUGAUUGGGCGUAAAGCGUCUGUAGGUUGUUUAAAAAGUAUUCUGUCAAAGAUUAGGGCUUAACCCUAGAUAGGCAGAAUAAACUUUUAAGCUAGAGUGUGGUAGAGGCAGAGGGAAUUCCCGGUGGAGCGGUGAAAUGCGUAGAUAUCGGGAGGAACACCAUAGGCGAAGGCACUCUGCUGGGCCAAUACUAACACUGAGAGACGAAAGCGAGGGGAGCAAAUGGGAUUAGAAACCCGAGUAGUCC
rnacentral:rRNA from 1 species